rnacentral:lncRNA from 1 species
AUGGAACUUAGCUUUUAUAGCCAUGGAAAAUGGUCUAGGAUUUAUGUGGUGACAUAAUUUGUUAUGAUAGAUAAAAUGAUAUACAUGAUGACUCAGAGUUGAUCUAAAAGUGUGAAUAGAUAUAGUCUUGGCUCACAAGUUAGGUGUUUCUUCCCACCUACAUCAAGAAACUUAUGACACAAGCUUGAAUCACUUUUUUUUAUCUAGAUACCAUGACUGUUUCUAGUGGGUAGGUCGUGUUGGCCGAGGUUUUUUAAUCCAGAUACCAUGGGUGUUUCUAGUGUGUAGGUCGUGUGGGCCGAGGGGGGGAGUGUGAGUUCACAUAAUUUGAGCAAAUAAGUCUACAGUACUGACGUUGAACUCAGCUCACAUGCACAUUUUUUGUUAUGUCUUGAAGAAGCACAACCACAAAUAGGUCAAUUUUGAUAAAUACAAUGACGCACGCUCAGCUCCUGAGAAUUAAUAGAGUUUCCCAAAUUUUGAUAAAUACAAUUUUUCAACUCACCUUUUUGGGUACGCUUUUUAGUUAGUGCAAUUUGGUGUAGAUGUGUAUGUGAAAUUGAUUCACCCGUUACCUUCUCUUGUGGAUCCCCUCUUAAUAUUACGGAUGUCCUACGAAUCAAAUCAACCGAAAAAGCCGCUAAACACCGCUACGCUUCUUUCCUUUUUAGGGAUCCACAACUCAUCUUGUGUCGAGUUCUUUAUAAACCUGAAAUACAUAGCACAAGAUAAGAUCAUUACACGUGUUGUCAUCACCACCAAAACUACUUAGGGAGAAAUGCCCUUUCAAAGGCUCUGUUAAUUUUUUUUUCUUUUUUUCUUUUUUGGGCGGUACGUGUUUUUUCUGCGCUUGAAGACUGCGGGAGCCGGGAUUAAAAGACACGCGGGGACAUCGAUGGCAGAUUCGUAAUUUUGGUGAAGUGACGUACCGCGACUGUACCAUCAUCACCAACUCCAAUUUAAUAUCUACUAGCAAAAGAACCCGUCCGUUGCUACGGACAACGGAAAAUUGUAUCAAAACGUCAAAUUAAAUGUUUUUAUGUUUCAUGAGCACAUAUGUAUAUAGCGAUUAUGAUACGUUUAUUUUCAUGGGCUAUACUCUGGUCUCUUUCUCUUUUUUACAUGUUUUAUUUUUAUAUUUCUCCUUGUCCUGCUCUCCUAUAACUCCUAACUAGCUAAGUACCCGUGCGUUGCAACGAAGACACAAAUAUUUCAAUGAUUUACGUCUCAAAUAUAGAUUACGCAUGUCCAUCGACCGAUCGAAUUUUUUUCUUUCCAAAACGUAAUUGACAAACGCAGAACUUACCUUAAUUUGUGGAACUUACCUUCCACAUGGGCUUAAUUUUCUCAAAUAUAGAUUACGCAU